GACCCUACGGGGCGCAGCAGUGGGGAAUAUUGCACAAUGGGGGGAACCCUGAUGCAGCGACGCCGCGUGAGUGAAGAAGUAUUUCGGUAUGUAAAGCUCUAUCAGCAGGGAAGAUAAUGACGGUACCUGACUAAGAAGCCCCGGCUAACUACGUGCCAGCAGCCGCGGUAAUACGUAGGGGGCAAGCGUUAUCCGGAUUUACUGGGUGUAAAGGGAGCGUAGGUGGCAGGGCAAGUCAGAUGUGAAAGUCUGGGGCCGA
rnacentral:rRNA from 1 species